GAGGAAUAUUGCGCAAUGGGCGAAAGCCUGACGCAGCAACGCCGCGUGAAGGACGAAGGCCUUCGGGUCGUAAACUUCUUUUCUGAGGGAAGAGCAAGGACGGUACCUCAGGAAUAAGUCUCGGCUAACUACGUGCCAGCAGCCGCGGUAAAACGUAGGAGGCGAGCGUUAUCCGGAUUUACUGGGCGUAAAGCGCACGCAGGUGGCUUCGUAAGUCGGACAUGAAAGCUCCUGGGUUAACUGGGAGAGGUUGUUCGAUACUGCGGGGCUUGAGGUUGGGAGAGGGACGUGGAAUUCCCGGUGUAGUGGUGGAAUGCGUAGAUAUCGGGAGGAACACCAGUGGCGCAAGCGGCGUCCUGGCCCACACCUGACGCUGAGGUGCGAAAGCGUGGGUAGCAAAC
rnacentral:rRNA from 1 species